ACUGAAUAGAUACCCGGGUAGUCCACGCUGUAAACGAUGGAUACUUGUUGUUAGAGGUAUUGACCCCUCUAGUGACGUAGCUAAACGCGAUAAGUAUCCCGCCUGGGGAGUACGGUCGCAAGAUUAAAGCUCAAAGAAAUUGACGGGGGCCCGCACAAGCGGUGGAGCAUGUGGUUUAAUUCGAUGCAACGCGAAGAACCUUACCUAGGCUUGACAUGAACUGGAAGGGUGGCAGAAACGCCCCCGCCCGCAAGGGUCGGUUCACAGGUGCUGCAUGGCUGUCGUCAGCUCGUGUCGUGAGAUGUUGGGUUAAGUCCCGCAACGAGCGCAACCCUUACCUUUAGUUGCCAGCAUUUAGUUGGGUACUCUAAAGGGACUGCCUGCGUUAAGCAGGAGGAAGGUGGGGAUGACGUCAAGUCCUCAUGGCCCUUAUGUCUAGGGCUACACACGUGCUACAAUGGUGGUCACAGAGGGAAGCCAAACCGCAAGGUGGAGCAAACCCCUUAAAAGCCAUCUAAGUUCAGAUUGGUCUCUGCAACUCGAGACC
rnacentral:rRNA from 1 species